GCUAACCCAAUCUUUACCCGGUCACCACAUAGGGUGGGUUGGGGGUUGGCUUCGUCUUCUCUCUUCGCCUCUUUCUCUCUCUACCUCCUCUCUCUUGAAUGAAGAGAGAAAGUAAAACAGAAGAGAAAUUUGUUUGGUGGUUUACCAGUGAAGUGGAUGUGAUUAAGCAGCAGAUUUUGAUUCUAUCACUGUGCGGUCUCUAAUUCGCUUGGUGCAGGUCGGGAACCGGUUUCUGCGCGAAAUGGUGAAGUGGUAGCCGGCGGCGAAUUGGAUCCCGCCUUGCAUCAACUGAAUCGGAGGCCGCAGUGAGGGUUUUUGUCGAUGUCUGGUUACACCCGCUCAGAUCUCAUCUCCCAGAUUCUACUAUCAAGUUUAAAGUGAUGCAUUUGAUUGUGGUGCUUGUGCUUAUCCUGAUUCAGGUUACUUCAGAUUGAUUGAUACUUUCUUUUGGGGAAUGGAAGGUUUAAAUUUAUGAAGUGGUGAACUUAUAGCAUAUGAUGAAGGCAUGAAAGGCUUGUUAGGGACCCUAAUUUUCAGUGGUAUCAGCUUUUUGAUUAUAAAUACUUAGUUUAAAUUUGCAUUUUAGCUAUUCAAUUGUUGGAGGGGGACUAAUCCCUCUCUUCUAGCCAAUACCAGGGAAAGACUUCCUCACCAAUUCAAUUCAUAAGCUAAACAGAAGUUACAGAAAUACGGAAGUUGUUUUCGUUGAGAUUGAUUUGAUUGUUGGCAAGAGGACUUUCAUGUGUAAAAAUUUAAAAAUGCUUUGAUUUCUAUGGGAAGUGGCAAUAUUUUUUAAAUAAUGUGAAUUCAAGUUGCAUUUAACUGUAUUGGCAUAACAAAUUCCAUGCAUAUAGUGCAUUUUUAUGUCACCAGAUUCUAACAGUUAUCUAAGGAAGAUCUGUUGUUGGGACUCUAAUAUGUUAUCAAAUGAAGAUUUAGAGAAAUCCAGAUAAUUCUUGUUAUUUGUGAUGACACAACAACCUCAGUGAUGUACAUAAUUUAUGACAUGGGAGAUUGAGAACAUAAUUGAAAGUCUAGAGAUUCAUUUAGUCUAUGAUUCUUAUCAGUUAUGGUGCAUUGAUUUUUACUUUUUUGUUUGUUUCUUCAUCGUUAUCAUGAACAAACUGCAAAGACUUAGCAAAAAUAUGAAUUUGAAGUUAACCUAAAUGUUAGUCUGAUUUACAUAGGUUCUCAGAUUAAUUAAUUCUUGCUAUAUAUUAUGAAAUGCAAAUGGCAUAAUUUAUACUCGGUUUGUAAAUGCUAAUAAAAAAGCAUUUGAAAUUAUUGAAUGAAAGAUCAGAAUUUAAAUUGAAUCCUUCUAUCAACAAUAGAAGUCAAGGAUAGAGAAAAUAGAACAUGUUAUUUAAAUCUUGGCUUUUCUGGAAAAUGCCAGUAUUCUUGUUUGACUGGGUAUUUGUCCAGGGAGAAUAUAGAGAGAACUAAGCAGAGCAUGUUGCAGAGAGGUGGGUACGAAUAUGCUUUGAACCUUUUCCUUCAAAAAGAAGGGCAUAAAAAACUGAGUCUCUUGUCUCUUAGAGACAAGAAAAAUUGUUUGUAUGAAAAAUAAUAGUAAAAAUUAAAAGAUUAUUUUAUAUAUUAUUUUUUAAUUAUUCAUUAUCACUGUUGUUAUUAUUAUAAUAAUAAAAGAAUGUCUUGAUUAUUUGUGGGUCUCAAUCAAUUAUGGGUAUAAAGGUAUAUAUUAGUUUAUGAAUAUAAUCUACUUAAAGCAUAAGCUAUCCAGAACAUUUCUUUGUCUAUAUAUUUAAGGGAUUUUUUCCUCUUUCUUUAAGAUAUUUAUUUAUUCAUCACUCAAAAACUACUCAUUUCCUCUGUCCCUGCAAUUCUGUCCCUCCUUCUCCACCGUGAUGUUUACUGCAGUUAGAUUAGAUCAGAUUACCACAGUAGUGAUUAUGACUGUUGCAUUGCCAUUAUGUAAUACUCAUUUUUUUGUUCUGUGGCUUUAAAUGGUGUGACGCAAUACCAUGACCAUGAUAAUCAAAAACUAUUGACGUGUGUGUUAUUUACUGCUUAGAUACACAACUUUUAGGUUUUCUUCCUUAAAAUUAGCUAUUGAUAUUUGUUGCAUAUAUAGUGAAUUGUAUGAAAACAUACAAAUGUAGUAAGGAGAAUAUAAAGCUAUUGAUUCAAUUCAAAAGGAAGAAAAAGAAACAUACUUUUGAAUUAAGUGUUUUUAUGAAAAACAUUAAAGUAAAUAUUUAAGACUAAUUAAAUAAUAGUUCAAAUUUACAAAUUUAGAAAAAUAAAAUAUACUAUUUAACAUAUAUUUUCAAAUUAAAUAAUUAAACGGAAGAUGACAAGAAAAACAAGAAGUUUAAGAGCAGUUGGACAGAAAGUCAGGGGUCUACAAAUAUAGAAGAAAUAAAAUAUAUUUGUAUUUACUCAUAAAUAAAAUAUUUUAGUAUUCACUCAUCAUAUUAGAGAGAUACAUCACACUUCCACUUCUAAAACAAGCAUGUAUAUUUUUAGUAUCAUUAUUUAUUUGAUUUAAUUUAAUUUUACUAUUAAAACAGCAUUCAAGUUUCUAAUAUUAUUACUAUUUUUGCUAAAUGAAUAUUGAAAUUGUUAACAAAAGUAGUUGUGGUUUUAACUUAAUGUAUGCAUAUAAAACUAACUUUAUCUUUCAGACUUUUAAAAGGUUAACAGCUGUAUUUUUUUGAAAGGUUAAUAGUUGUAUUUAUUAAAAAAUAAGAAACUUGAUUGAAGUUUAAAAUAUUUAUGUUAUUGUAUUUAUGAAAUUGAGAAUUUAAUUGACUUUUUUUAUUAAUAAAUGGUAAAUUAAAUAAAAUUAAUAGAUGAAGUCAGCCAAUUGUAUUUAUUUUCCACGUUGAUGAUAGCCAUAACAGCUCGGGUACAAAAAGUGCAGAUGAGUUUUUGUACUUGUUCCUGUAAAGAUAGUUUCCUCCAUUGCCCAGAUACAAAAUCCUCCUGUCAUAAAAGCGACUAAUCACAGCUAGCUUUCAAUUUAGAUGCCUAGUGUUCUACCUUAUCGACUAAAGAAGGAUAAUUUCUAAUAACCUUUCAAGAUAAGUUUUUAAACAUAUAUUUUUAAAUUAUCGGUGCAUGUAUUACGUUCAAUAAUCAAUUGACACGUUGUGUUUUUUAUUUUUA